AUUGUCUCAGGGCAGCAACAUAGAAGGCCUGUCCCUGUGUAACCACCAGAUGAGCUGCUGGCAACUGCAGCUGAACCUCUCCCAAUGAUCCUAAUGGGCGAUGGGGCUCAUGGUGGAGAAGACAAAGAGAAGAUGGAAGGACCUGCGAACAGCUCAGAAGAUCCACCUCGAGACUUACAAAUCUUACUGAGGCUUGGUCUGGCCCACAGGGCAACAGGGCAUAUUCCCGGUGCUCCCCAGCCAUGUGGUGCCCCUGAGCCCCAACUCCCUUAAUUACCUAUUCUGCUCAAAGCUCGGCACCCUCCCCACAUACAUUCCACUGCCCUCCCAGUGCCCCCAGUCCGGCCCUGAUCUUACUACUUUCUCUUUGGCUUCUGAGGUUACAAGUACUACUGUGAGACAAGGGUUUUUUAAAACAUGGUUAACAUUCCCAGUAUGCUAAUUCUAUGCUAGAUCCCAAAUUCCACACUUGCUUGAUGCAAAUGUAGACGUGUGGGAUACACACAGCACUGGGCAUCUUUCUUUUUUCCUACUGACAUCUCAUCCUGUUAACGUGAAAACAGUCCAUCACAAAGCAAAGCCUCUGAUCUCCAUAGGGAUACAGGAAGCCAUGAAGCUGCGAUGUCCUCUAUCCGAUUCCUUAUGUGAUGCUAUGAGAACUGAAGGAAACUUCAGUUGCUUUGCUCUCUCUGCAAAGGCAAAGAGGGGACAGCCGCAUGAGGGGGGGCAUCGGGGCAAUCAACUUAUGCUGAGUCAGACCAUUCAUCCAUUGACCUAGCUGGCUACUGCAGGGGUUCUCCAAUUUGGGUCCCCAGAUAUUCUUGGACUACAUCUCCCAUCAGUCCCACCAGAAGGCCAUUGCAGCUGGGGAUUAUGGGACUCCAACAACAGAGGACCCAAGUUUGAGAACUCCUGGUCUAUUGUGACUGGCAGAAAAAGACUCUGGCAGAAGUCGUGCAUCACCCUGGUAGUCAAGAGUCUUUGGCUGAUGACAUCUAGGGCAUUUUGGCUCUUCAAUGUUUUGCUUUAAUAACUGUGAAUACCAUCUGGGAGGAGGUCAUUUUAUUUUAUAUGAAGGAAAAAAAUGAAUGGGAAAAUAACUCAAGCAACCAUCCUCUAUACACGUACAUGGGAGUAACCCCACUAAAGACAGUGGGACUUACUCCUGAGAAAGCAUGCACAGGAAAAGGAUGUGAGGCAGCAAUCUUAUGCAGCCUUGCUUGUGAGCUAGUCCUUAUCUGCACUCAGGAAGAUGUCCUUCCAAGUAUAUAUAUGCAUAGGAGAAGGCUGUAAGCAAACUCUUUCCUUUGCCUUGCAUAUGAAUAAUUUAUGACUCAGAACUCUGCCGCCUUGAUGGGUUUAGGCUCAAGGGUGGGUAUAUGACAAAUGCCCAAACACUCCCAUCUGUGAAACACAGUGUCAUCCGGUCUCCUGUGGCACCACCAAGGAACGCCCCAGCACUGUUGUAGUAGGGCAAAGAGCAUGACUUCAUUCUGUUUCAUGUGCAGCAUUUCCUGUGAGUGGGUGAUUCAUACCAUGACUUUGCAUUCCAUGCACAAUUUUGUAAUAUGCUCCUUAUUUCUCUAAGUGGUGAGUCCAGGGACAGAGCCACUGGAUAUACUUUCAUUUGGAGUAGAGGACACUGGAGAUUUAUGAGACCUAUAGUGUGCCAUAAGCAACACUUCUCAAUCAGCACAACCCGUAGCUCAGUAGGGCAAUAGUUCAGUGAUAGAACUGCAUUAGGUUCAAUCUCUAGAUUCCCCAGGUAGAGCUGGGAAAGAUCUCUGUCUCAAAGCCUGCCAGUCAGUGUACAAUAUUGACCCAGAUGGACCAAUACUCUUCAGUAGAAGGCAGCUUCAUGUUCUCAGAGGCUCCCCCCACGAGCAACCUAGCUCAAGCUAGGGCAGCCUAGCCUAGGUUAGGCUGCUUGUGUGGAGUGCCAGGAUCUGCACCGAUCCUGGUGCUCCCACCCAGCCAAACCUUACUUUUAAGCCUGACCCUUAGCUGAGGUUAAAGGGAGUGAGUGCUCCCUUAACCCGGCUGCCAGGAUCAUGUGUGUCCUCAAGCUGCACACAGCCUGAGAAGACGUAGAGCUGGGCACCUAAAGCGCCUGUCUGAUGGGGAAAUUCCCCAAUGCAUCACACUCGGCAUGCGGUGAAUUGUGGGAUUCCUGGAGGACGGGAUGCAUCAUCCCAGCCUCCGGAGAUCCACGCUGCUUGAUGAAGCAUGGAUUGUGGGGGAGCAUGCUUCAUGCUCCCAGAAAUGUAUUUGCUGUUGUCUUGGGGAGAAGGUAAGUUUGGAACAGCCUCCCCCCGCCUGUCUGCCUGGCUGCCCGCUUGUGCGGUCAUGUGGAUACCCUUUCAAAGUCUUUGCAAUUUGCUUUAAGUGGAGAAAAAUAGCAGGCACUCCUACAAAGCAGUAGAUCCAGUAAUCCACAUCAUAUCCCCAAGGAGAAUGAAUCUUCAGUCCACAAUGCUUCAUCUUCAUUCAACUCAUUGCUUUCUUUCUCCCCUGCCCACUUUCUUUCUCUCUGCAAAUUCAAAAUUGCCAAUUGCUGUUUCUUACAUAUAAUCUACUAAGCACUUAUGUCAGGCUCUACCAUGGCAGGUAAGCCCAUUGAGGAGACAUCUACAGCCAUUAAAGGAACAUUAAGGUUCAAAAUGCAACAAAUGGUGAGUAUGAAUAGUGACUGAGAUACUGUGCAAACUUCCACCUGCCUUGUAAUGAAGGAUGUGUGCAAUUGUGCAAGAGCACUUAUAUAAAGAGGUGGAAUUGCACAGAGUUACAUGAUAGAUGGCCAUUAUUUCCCAUAGCUGUCCAUCGUGCAACUCUGUGCAAUGUUGCACUCUUGAGCAAUAACAGUCUUGCACAAUCAUGUGCACGCAUAAUUAUAUGGCAGCCAGACAUUUGUGCAGAAUCUCAGCACUAUGAUUACUAUUACUAUCAUCAUCAUCAAUUAUUAUAUUAUGAUCAGUUAUUACUGUUGUCUGUACUUAGCUACAAAUGCUAAGGGAUAACUAUUAAUGCUAAAUAAUAAAAUAUUAUUAUAGUAUUUAGUGAUAAAUGUUAAUUGUUAUUUUAAUGAUUAUUAUUGUCAAAAUCCUAUAUAGAGAUACUUGAGUCAAAACCAUAGUGAUAGAUCCACUCACAAUCAGGAUACUUACAACAAUGUUCGUUUUUCCAAGAGGCAACAAUUCUGAAUUUUUGCUGGUCUAUGAUCGUAACAAAUACAUAACAAAAAAGAGGAAAUAGGGUUAUCAGUAUAGCACCAAGAACAGACUUUCUAGUAUACACUUUCUUCCCAUAGAAUGCCCUCCUAAAGCUAAUUCUGUAGUAUAUUUUUGUUGGAUAGUAAAAUUAUACUUGCUAAUUACAAAAUCUGUCAGGGGAGUAAGGCUCAUUGAUACAAUUUCAUAUACUAGGGUUUUUUUCCCUUCAAAAAAUAGCUUCCUCUAAGGGCAGGAAGAUUUUUUUUUUUUAAUUAUGGCUUUAAAUUGCUGAUUCAGUGCAUGCAAAACUCUUAAAGGACCACCCAUAACAUAUGUUACAUCUUUUGAGGUCUCCUUCAACUAUCCCUCUCCCUUUUUACAAUGUUUCCCAUUUUAACCGAUACCACAUCUCCCUGUUAGCACGGCUUGGUUACUCCUCCCAGAUCCCUGGGACGUACACUAUGGAAAAUUCCCAUGCUAUUGCAACCUGUCAGAAACUGCUAAUCCCCAUGUAGAUUAAAUGCUAGAUCAGGGAAAGGAAUCACUGGGCCAUGGCAAGAAAUUAAGCCUGCAAAGGUUGUGCACCCUGUACCAGUGGUGUAAGAAGUGCAUAGGAGACCCAUAUUUGGGCCGGCUGCCUCUCCCAUUUGGCGGCACACACGCACACACCCCAGUGCCUCCCAUGGGCCCCCUGCCUCCUGGACGUAUAAUAAUCUGCUAGGGGGUAGCUGGAACACAACCCUGGCCAUCUCUCCUGUCCCUGGAGACAGAACUGAGGAAACACUGACCUGAGUGAUGCCAUCCUUGGCCUUUCUCUGAAGCAGCAGGAUCCCCAGACUGCUAAGCCUCUCCCAAGUCCUAACCUCUUUCCAGGAAAGCAUUUGCACUUGGAUAGUGGCAAGAAAAGGGGAGGGGGAAUGUUGUCCUCCAGCAAUGCUGGGGGUGGAGUGGGGGAGAUAGAGUGUGACCCGACCCCCUCCCCUGAAGGAGGACCCUCCCCAUCCCAUGCUCUGGGGUUAGUGGUGGUUAAGCAGAGGGGGCAGGGCAGCCUGCCCUGAGCUGCUCCCCCAUGGAGGCUGCUGCCACCGACGCUGCUACCACCGACAUGCACAGCACAGAGAAAAGGAGUGCCGGGGACGCCACCAGGUACCCGUCACAGUGAGUGUGGCGGCCUCGACAGGAGCUGCGCACAGGUUUUGGGAACCUGUGCACACAGUUACAGCUCUGCCACUGCACCGCACCCAAACUCCUGAACAACAUAACUGUUCUUUGUUGUGACCAUUCCUAUUUGGCAUUUAAGCCCCAACCUAGCAGUGCAGAAAGCAAUAGUAUGGACAAGUCCUUUGUGCGAUAGAAGGGUCUGUUUCUUUAAGUGGAGGCUGCUGUAGCCCACUUUCUAUUUCCAUCAGAUUCUCUCGCUUUGCUUUCUCAUGUAAUCAGCCACACCAGCUCAUUUGCACAAAUAACUGCUCCCAGGUGGAUAAUAUUCAAAAGCAGCAGAAAGGGGGAUCAAUUAGUAAUGUACUGCCAAAAGGGAGAUAAAUUGGCAGGUCAAAAAUGAUUAUUUUUGUUUCACGUGUCUGUACUUUCUCUAAAAUAUCCAUGUACAGAGUGUACUGUCCUGAAUGUCCUUUCUUGAAGUCACUGGCAUGAGAGUGCAUCUUUUAUGCCAAUUAUCUUUUCCAUGUGGAUCCAGUGAAUCACUGGUUAGUGCAAGGCCUUUGUAUUGGCUCCCAGUAGUUUGGUAUUUGUAGGGGUCUAGUGCUACCAUCUUUGUGAAUUAAGAUGUACAGAUGGUGCCCAGAUUUAGCAUCUUGCUCCCCCAAAACAUUUUUAUGCGACUGGAAAAGAAAAGGAAACUGAUGUCAUAGAGCAAAUAUGAGCUAUUAAAGAUUAUAUGUUGUGGGGGGAAACAGCUCAUCUAGAUGUUAUGGCUGUGGCUGACAGUGAUUAAAAAAAAUAAAAAUAAAAUUUAAAGUCAA